ACUGCAUCUGGGCCAGCUGGGAGCCGUAGCGCGCCUCGGUCUCCGCCAGGGUGGAUUCCAGGGAAGCAUCUCUCAGGCUGU